rnacentral:rRNA from 1 species
CAGCAGCCGCGGUAAUACCGGCGGCCCGAGUGGCGGUCACUAUUAUUGGGCUUAAAGCGUCCGUAGCCGGGUUGGGAAGGCCUCCGGGAAAUCUGGCCGCUUAACGGUCAGAAUGCCGGAGGAUACUCCCAGCCUAGGGAGCGGGAGAGGCCGAGGGGAUUCCCGGGGUAGGGGGGAAAUCCUAUAAUCCCGGGAGGACCACCUGUGGCGAAGGCGCUCGGCUGGAACGCGUCCGACGGUGAGGGACGAAGGCCAGGGGAGCAAACCGGAUUAGAUACCCGGGUAGUCCUGGCGGUAAACGAUGCGGACUUUGUGUCGGACAAGCUAUGAGCUUGUCCGGUGCCGGAGGGAAACCGUUAAGUCCGCCGCCUGGGGAGUACGGCCGCAAGGCUGAAACUUAAAGGAAUUGGCGGG